rnacentral:snRNA from 1 species
GUGCUCACUUCAGCAGCACACAUACUAAAAGUGGAUCAAUACAGAGAAGAUUCGCACUGCCCAGACACAAGGGUGGCAAGCAAAUUCAUGAAGUUUUCCAAAAUUUA